AGGACGAACGCUAGCGGCAGGCCUAAUACAUGCAAGCCGAACGGUAAUCCUGACGGCAACGUCAGGACUAGAGUGGCGUAAGGGUGCGUAACACGUAUGCAAUCUGCCCUCAACUGGGGGAUAGCUCCCGGAAACGGGAAUUAAUACCCCAUAACAUGCCAGCGAGGCAUCUUGCUGGCAUUAAAGCUACGGCGGUUGAGGAUGAGCAUGCGUCUGAUUAGCUAGUUGGUGAGGUAACGGCUCACCAAGGCGAUGAUCAGUAGGGGAACUGAGAGGUUGAUCCCCCACACUGGCACUGAGACACGGGCCAGACUCCUACGGGAGGCAGCAGUAGGGAAUAUUGGACAAUGGGUGCGAGCCUGAUCCAGCCAUGCCGCGUGCAGGAAGAAGGCCUUCUGGGUUGUAAACUGCUUUUAUCUGGGAAUAAAAAACCCGUGCGCGGGGAACUGAAGGUACCAGAUGAAUAAGCCACGGCUAACUACGUGCCAGCAGCCGCGGUAAUACGUAGGUGGCGAGCGUUGUCCGGAUUCAUUGGGUUUAAAGGGUGCGUAGGCGGCUGAUUAAGUCAGUGCUGAAAGCCCCCGGCUUAACCGGGGAGGUGGCAUUGAUACUGGUCGGCUUGAGUGCUGUCGAGGCAGGCGGAAUUGACGGUGUAGCGGUGAAAUGCUUAGAUAUCGUCAGGAACACCGAUAGUGAAGACAGCUUGCCAGAGAGCAACUGACGCCGAGGCACGAAAGUGUGGGGAGCAAACAGGAUUAGAUACCCUGGUAGUCCACACUGUAAACGAUGAUGACUCGCUGUUGGCGAUAUACGGUCAGCGGCCAAGAGAAAUCGUUAAGUCAUCCACCUGGGGAGUACGCCGGCAACGGUG
rnacentral:rRNA from 1 species